GUGUCAAGAGAAAAAACAACACAUCUACUACAGUUAGAAAGACACAGAAAGGAUUAACAUGACCCCUGUGCAAGGAGGACACAAAAAUUCAUGAAGUGUUCCAUAUUUUU
rnacentral:snRNA from 1 species